CCUAACACAUGCAAGUCGAGCGAGAAAGCCCUUACGGGGGUGAGUACAGCGGCGGACGGGUGAGUAACGCGUGGAUAUCUACCUGGUGAUUCGGGAUAACCCUGCGAAAGCGGGGCUAAUACCGGAUAGUCUGUAUGCUUUUUUGUUAUACGGUAAAGAUGGCCUCUGUUUCAAGCUAUUGUCAUCAGAUGAGUCCGCGUCCCAUUAGCUUGUAGGUGGGGUAACGGCCUACCAAUGCAACGAUGGGUAGCUGGUCUGAGAGGAUGAUCAGCCACACUGGGACUGGAACACGGCGGGGACUCCUACGGGAGGCAGCAGUGGGGAAUAUUGGGCAAUGGGCGCAAGCCUGACCCAGCGACGCCGCGUGAGGGAAGAAGGUUUUCGGAUCGUAAACCUCUGUCAGGAGGGAAGAAAUGCCAUGGUUCGAACAGAGCUAUGGUUUGACGGUACCUCCAGAGGAAGCACCGGCUAACUCCGUGCCAGCAGCCGCGGUAACACGGAGGGUGCAAGCGUUAUUCGGAAUUACUGGGCGUAAAGCGCGCGUAGGCGGCUUUUCAAGUCAGAUGUGAAAGCCCUCGGAUCAACCGAGGAAUUGCAUUUGAAACUGUUGAGCUAGAGUUCGGGAGAGGGUGGCGGAAUUCCCGGUGUAGGAGUGAAAUCCGUAGAUAUCGGGAGGAACACC
rnacentral:rRNA from 1 species